AAUAGUUUCCCGUCCUCAUGCUUCUCUGUUUUCCAGCAAUGCACCAGCACCAGAAGAAAUCGCUUUCCAUCCUGAGUUGUAAUGCUUAAGAAAGCAAUGGCUGCUGCCAUUGCCAUGGGAAAUCAUGCCUUUCCUUAAAGAAAAAAAGACAACAAGCAGGAAGAGAUCCCUCACCAAUCCGGUGGUCACAAACCGAGUGAACAGCGAGAAACAUCGGGAACCACAAUGCCCUCAAUCAGAUGAAAAAAGACACAAGAUGUCAGUGAACGACGUCCCAGUAAAAGACAUCAUCUGUCCUCAUGUUGCUGUCGGCUAUAUGUCCAGCCUCUUCUAUGUGCUGAACAUCAUGUACCCCAGGGGAGCAGCACUGAUUCUGGAGUUUACCCAAAUAUAUGUUUUGACAAUGUUCUUUGUCCAUUUAAAGGGCAACUUUUAUGUAGCAUUUUCAGGUUAAUAACUGUAUUUUGUGUUUGUACUAGAAUAUGUUUACAUACUUUAAUGUUUAUUUUUCUCAUACUGCCCAUGGCUGCUGUACCUGUAUUCACCCUCUGUAUGGGUCUCUUUAAACCCGCCUCCUGACAAAGCCCGGUCUGCUCUGAAUGGCCAGAGUGUUUCCUGGAAUCUGCGCUUCACUCCGUGCCUAGCUGUUUCGCUAGUAUCAGCUGGAGCUACUGCAACAGAGUAUAUAACAGGACUUUGUACCGUGAAAAAUCACCAAUAAAGGCUUCUAAACCAAAUACUACACAACCGGACAUGUCCCAACCAACAUUGGCCGCCAAGAUUAGCUACAGCUAUGUGGCGUCA